AGUUAUCCCAGAGAAGCUUUAUAUUAAAAACAGGCUGAGAGUGGCUUGAACCGUGAUCACCAAAAAGACCCGGAGGAUAAGUCAACUUUCAUCUUGUCAAGAUUUCUACGGCAGACCCCCC
ensembl:misc_RNA